rnacentral:lncRNA from 1 species
UUUUUUUUUUUUUUUUUUUUUUUUUUUUUUUUUUUGAGACAGAGUCUCGCUCUGUCACCCAGUGGUGCGAUCUCGGCUCACUGCAAGCUCCACCUCCCGGGUUCACGCCAUUCUCCUGCCUCAGCCUCCCGAGUAGCUGGGACUACAGGCUCCCGCCACCACGCCCGGCAAAUUUUUUUUGUAUUUUUAGUAGAGACGGGAUUUCACCGUGUUAGCCAGGAUGGUCUCAAUCUCCUGACCUCGUGAUCCACCUGCCUCCUCCUCCCAAAGUGCUGGGAUUACAGGUGUGAGCCACCGCGCCCAGCCAAACAGUAAUUAUCUUAAUUCACGUUUUUCUUUUAGUUUUUCAGAUUAACUCUAAGUAAUUCAUACUGUACAUUUCUGAAAUUGAAGUACACACAGCUUCAAUUCUGUGCAGGGAGGAUGCAACAGGAGAGAAUAUCCUGGGCACAUCUUUCUGGAGAAUCACUUUUACUACAAGAUUUGUAAGAAACAAAUUUAUUUCCAAGGGUGGACAACAUGGAUGUCUUCACCUGCCAGGGUCAAGGACAAGCCAGCUGGAGCAGCUGCAUCUCCUGGAGGAUUUUGAUCUCCUGCAACUAAAGGGAAAGAAAGGAUGCUGAGACAGGUCCUGCAGCAUACACAUAACUAUAAUUCAGAAAGUGAUACACAUACACACAGGUAAAUAUAAUCAGAAAGUGAUAUAAUCUUAUAU